rnacentral:lncRNA from 1 species
ACCUGGAACGCAGAGAGAAAGCUCCUGGUGUUCCAUCUUGCUUGUUUUGCCUGGUGGUGUUUUUUAAGACAGGGUCUUAUCAGCUUCGAACUUGAAAUCCCCCUGCCUCAGUGUCUGGAAUGCGGACUAACCUGCUGAUUACUAAAGGAAAGGGCGGAUUUCUCAGUACUCCCUCUGGACUGGAGCACGGUGUGAACAGUAGUUACUGCUGUAAGGAAUGCAGGUUUAGAGUGCUAGGAUUACGGGCACGUACCUACCACCACUCUCAGCAGAGCAUCGAUUUUUAUCCAGGGUAAAGGGAGCAAAGGACACAUGAUCCAGAGGGCGGUGUAAUUAUCAACUAUUCCAGAGAACUCAAGGAAACGCAGGACCACCCAACGCUCAGAUAGACUUUCCCACCAGAGAUGAGACUCUGUGAGAAGGUAUAAGUCACAAAGACAACUGUGCAAUCCAGACAAAACAGCUGAAAACUAAAAAUGUCCAGAACAACAAGGGAAACGGCUCUUGUGUCAGAGGCUUGAUCCUCCGCUGGUGAUGAACGCUACUGAGAGGUGAUUGGAUCAUGAGCAUGCUAGCCUCAUCAAUGGAUCCACCCAUUGGUCAGAUCAUUGCUGAAUGGGGGUGGGGCCAGGUUAAAGAGACUAUUAAUAGGUCAACGGGGCAAGUC